CCAAGGAUGAAGCUGGGAACCAGUAUCUCCAUCCAAGUCUCCCUUGUGAAUGGAAAAACAAAUUAUUUGAGCCAUGAUUGCUGCCUCCCUGGGUCUGCCUUGAACGGAAGCUGAAUCCAGGAGCCAGAGCCAGCAAUCAAAACUAGAUACCAUGACGUGGGAUGUGGGCAUCUGAGCCACUAGGCGAACUGCCAAUUUCCAGCAUCUAGACCUUGAGGGACCAAAAUCCUGGAGAACAGCAGGUCACAGUAAAACACAAGCAGACCAGAUGCCAGUUUUCCUACUACAACAUUAGGUUAAAAAGACUAAGAAGUAGAGGGGAAGAAAGAAUGGGAAAGAGGAGUGCAGGGUUUGGUCAUUUUAGUAAGAGGCCGACUUAGGGUUCUGAGAAUCAGCCAUCAGGAGGCGUUGGUAAACGUCACUGAUUUUCACUUGGGAUCCCUGGAGGUCCACAGCCUAGGAGUGGAGACGAAGCCAGACUCUUCUAAGGAAGGAAAUGCAGACUCGAGCCAGGUCCACCCCGAAAGAUUGAGUUAUGACCCUCAUGCUAUUUGCCUGGUCUAUGAUAGAGUGAAUUAUCUCUGGGCAAUGAGAUUAUCAUUCUGAGCCUUCAUACUUUUUUAAUACAAUGUCCAACUUUCAAUAAGAUAUUACCAGGCAUGAAAAUAAAAUAACUCGCUGGCAUCUAGUCCAGCACACUAAGGAGCUGGUAGAUCAUCAGUUCAUAUGCAUAACAAGUAAAAAACACUGGACAAACUCAAAAAACAGAAAAACUCUUCCUAACCUGGUCGAAGAAAGAAGCUCACAGGGUAAAUCACCCCGACCAAAAUUAUAAACAAAGCAGCAGGGGCAGAGAAUCCCAACCUCCAUUAGGGGCUCUGGAGAGGAGCGGGACAGGAAAAGUCUCCUCACUCUUCACGAGCUUACUUCCCAGAGUUCUACUAUGUGGGCCAUGAACAUAUUAAUAAUUUUAAAUAUUUAUUUAUUUAUUUGAAAGUCGUGGUUAGAGAGGGAGAGACAGAGAGAAAGGUCUUCCACCUGCUGGUUCACUCCCCAGAUGGCCAGAAUGUCCAGGCCAGGGGCAAGGGCGAAGCCAGGAGCCUCAAACUCCAUCCAGGUCUCCCAUAUGGGUGCAGCGGCCCAGGUACCGGGGCCAUCCUCUGCUGCUUUCCCAGGGGCACUAGCAGGGAGCUGGACAGGAAGUGGAGCAGCCGAGACUCCAACCAGAACCCCAAAUGUAUUAAUUUUGAUGCAGGCUCUUGUCUACUUCCGAGACAGAAAUACAAAACGCAGACCGGUCCCACGCACAAAUAGGAACGGAGGUUACGUAGCACUCGGGAAACAAACACACAUUCAGGCCCGAGUGUGGGCCGCCCCUCACAGAGAAAUGCUCAACAUGAGCGGGCCAAAGAACUGCCCGUGGGCAAGAGAGAAAAAAACGAAAAUGGUACCUACAGUUGGGGUGUCCGUGCACGCGUCGGAGAUAGAGAGCAGGAAAGCACCAAGGUGGACGGCUCUGCGCGGGGAAAAGCACGCACAAGCGGUCCCUGGCUCUGCGCGUGGAGCACUCCGCGCGUGGAGCGCUCCGCGGAGAAAAAGAGAAAACAGCAGCUUUCAUCUGCGCUGGAGGUGCAGCUCCUUCCGGCUGGUGCGCCCUCCGAUUGGCUCCAGGAACCUGUGGGGUGUGAGCAUGCAUCCAGGACCCGGAUGUGACAGGUGCAUUCUGGGAAGGCGGGUGUAUCACACUGACAGUUAAAGACAUAGCCUUCCACUGCAGGAGAGGAAAGAGUUCCAGGCCCCUAACCGCCGUGUUCUUCAACUGGAUCCAGCUCCCUGCUGUUGGCCUGGAAAAGCAGUGGAAGUGUUUGGGUCCUUGCACCCAUGUGGGAGACCCAGAAGAAGCUCCUGGCUCCUGGUUUUGGAUCAGCCCAGCUCUGGCCAUUGCAGCCAUUUGGGGAGUGACCUGGCAGAUGGAAGACCUUUGUCUCUGUCUCUCCUUCUCUCUGUCUGUGACUCUACCUCUCAAAUAAAUAAAUCUUUAAAGAAAA